CACCCAUAGCGUGGGAAAAGGUAUCGACGGAUUCACCUGGCUGUUGAUUCCGUUGCGUCAGAUCUCUUUGCAACUCGAACUCGGAUCGAUAAGAGCUGAACUGUCGCUGCGAGGCAUGUUGUAGAACAUGCCAGUAUAUGGCCCCGUAAGUCUUAAGGAAGAGCCAGUACCACUCUCUAGCUUCUCCGCUCAAUAAAUGGUGAAACUCCCGCAUUACAUCUGCCCAGUCACAUCCAUGAUGCUGCCGCAAAUGAUCCAGACGGAACAGGAAAUCCUUCACAGCGAUUUUGUCGUUGUGGCCCUGGUAAGUUAGCCCCACUUAUGAAUUUUAACUUCUUUGCGUAGUUGACGAUUUCUGUUGUUUUCAGCCAUGCCAUGUGGUACCUGAGGAGACUGGUGACUAACCUGUUCGCGCCCAUUAUAUACUUGAUCCGGCGUUACACGCGUUCGCGAUUGUUGUGCCAAAGGAUUCGGGAGAUGUAGAGGCUCCGUAUUUCUGUUGCCAUUUCUUGGUACUGCGCCCCGUUGACCUUGUUUCGCGUGGGAGCAGGGAGCUCGUCACGGCGUCGUCUAUUCGGAGAGAACCCAUUACUGGAAUGUUGAUGGUUCCCACAGUUGCUGGCCUGUGGUUGGGUGCGCGUCUGCUGGGAAUUCUUUACAUCCCGUAUUAUGUCUCGGACGAUUGGCGUGAUUUCUUCCCGCGACGACCUUGGGUAUGGAAACAUUUCGCUAACACGGGCACUACGGGUUUGUACGCUUAUUAGAGGAAAAUUGAGAUUGCUAGUAAUUGCGCCUGGUAGGAUAGGUUGUUCUUGGACUGCUGGGCCGACUGCCCCUUCAUUAACAUUGGACCUACUGGUAUGUUCGCUCGACGGAGGUAAAUGUAGAUUGCUUGCCACUACAGACUUUACCGCGGCCAAAUGAGCACUCAGCUCUCUUCAGUGCGAUUGGUAUUUUUCUAUCAU